UGCGGUUAAAAAGCUCGUAGUUGGAUCUGUGUCCCGCGCCGUCGGUUCACCGCCUGUCGGUGUUAAACUGGCGUGUAUGCGGGACGUCCUGUCGGUGGCGGAACGGGGCUUCGUCAAACCGUAGGGGAGUCCAGGUCCGGCGACUCCCUGAAGGCUGGCGUAUGCUUCCGGCCGCCUUGUCAAUCCCGCCGCGGUGCUCUUCACCGAGUGUCGAGGCGGGCCGGCACGUUUACUUUGAACAAAUUAGAGUGCUUUAAGCAGGCUCUUUCCCGCCUGUAUAUUGUGUGCAUGGAAUAAUGGAAUAGGACCUCGGUUCUAUUUUGUUGGUUUCCGGAAUCUGAGGUAAUGAUCAAUGGGGACAGGCGGGGGCAUUCGUAUUGCGACGUUAGAGGUGAAAUUCUUGGAUCGUCGCAAGACGGACCGAAGCGAAAGCAUUUGCCAAGUAUGUUCUCGUCGAUCAAGAACGAAAGUUAGAGGUUCGAAGGCGAUCAGAUACCGCCCUAGUUCUAACCAUAAACUAUGCCUGCCAGCGAUCCGCCGGUGUUCCUCCGAUGACCCGGCGGGCAGCUUCCGGGAAACCAGAGCUUUUGGGUUCCGGGGGAAGUAUGGUUGCAAAGCUGAAACUUAAAGGAAUUGACGGAAGGGCACCACCAGGAGUGGAGCCUGCGGCUUAAUUUGACUCAACACGGGAAACCUCACCAGGCCCGGACACCGGAAGGAUUGACAGAUUGAGAGCUCUUUCUUGAUUCGGUGGGUGGUGGUGCAUGGCCGUUCUUAGUUGGUGGAGCGAUUUGUCUGGUUAAUUCCGAUAACGAACGAGACUCUAGCCUACUAACUAGACGUUUCCGGUAUCCACAAUCGUGCUACCGGCGAGUAAAUUUCUUCUUAGAGGGACAGGCGGCUUCUAGCCGCACGAGACUGAGCAAUAACAGGUCUGUGAUGCCCUUAGAUGUCCUGGGCCGCACGCGCGCUACACUGAAGGAAUCAGCGUGUCUUCCCUGUCCGAAAGGACCGGGUAACCCGCUGAACCUCCUUCGUGCUAGGGAUUGGGGCUUGCAAUUGUUCCCCAUGAACGAGGAAUUCCCAGUAAGCGCGAGUCAUAAGCUCGCGUUGAUUACGUCCCUGCCCUUUGUACACACCGCCCGUCGCUACUACCGAUUGAAUGAUUUAGUGAGGUCUUCGGACUGGUGCGCGGAGGUGGCUCCUGUUGCUUCCGAUGUUGUCGGAAAGAUGACCAAACUUGAUCAUUUAGAGGAAGUAAAAGUCGUAACAA
rnacentral:rRNA from 1 species